rnacentral:rRNA from 1 species
UACGGAGGUGGCAAGCGUUGCUCGGAAUCACUGGGCGUAAAGGGCGCGUAGGCGGGGAGGUAAGUCGGGUGUGAAAUUCCUCGGCCCAACCGAGGAACUGCGCCCGAGACUGCUUCUCUUGAGUCCCGGAGAGGAAGAUGGAAUUCCCGGUGUAGCGGUGAAAUGUGUAGAGAUCGGGAGGAACACCGGUGGCGAAGGCGGUCUUCUGGACGGUGACUGACGCUGAGGCGCGAAAGCGUGGGGAGCAAACGGA